rnacentral:rRNA from 1 species
UGGGGAAUAUUGCACAAUGGGCGAAAGCCUGAUGCAGCAACGCCGCGUGAGUGAUGAAGGUCUUCGGAUUGUAAAGCUCUGUCUUUUGGGACGAUAAUGACGGUACCAAAGGAGGAAGCCACGGCUAACUACGUGCCAGCAGCCGCGGUAAUACGUAGGUGGCGAGCGUUGUCCGGAUUUACUGGGCGUAAAGGGUGCGUAGGCGGAUGUUUAAGUGAGAUGUGAAAUACCCGGGCUUAACUUGGGUGCUGCAUUUCAAACUGGAUAUCUAGAGUGCAGGAGAGGAGAAUGGAAUUCCUAGUNUAGCGGUGAAAUGCGUAGAGAUUAGGAAGAACACCAGUGGCGAAGGCGAUUCUCUGGACUGUAACUGACGCUGAGGCACGAAAGCGUGGGUAGCAAACAGGAUUAGAUACCCUGGUAGUCCACGCCGUAAACGAUGAGUACUAGGUGUAGG